GGAUUGUAAACUCCUGUCGUUAGGGACGAUAAUGACGGUACCUAACAAGAAAGCACCGGCUAACUACGUGCCAGCAGCCGCGGUAAAACGUAGGGUGCAAGCGUUGUCCGGAAUUACUGGGUGUAAAGGGAGCGCAGGCGGGAAGACAAGUUGGAAGUGAAAACCAUGGGCUCAACCCAUGAAUUGCUUUCAAAACUGUUUUUCUUGAGUAGUGCAGAGGUAGAUGGAAUUCCCGGUGUAGCGGUGGAAUGCGUAGAUAUCGGGAGGAACACCAGUGGCGAAGGCGGUCUACUGGGCACCAACUGACGCUGAGGCUCGAAAGCAUGGGUAGCAAACAGGAUUAGAUACCCUGGUAGUCCAUGCCGUAAA
rnacentral:rRNA from 1 species